UUUUGUAUUUUAAUUGUAAAAUCUGUUUCUUUAAAUUUUCAAACAUCUUAUCUGAAGUUACGUUUUUUCUGUUUUACAAUUCUAUUUCUGCCACAUUUCUUACUAAGAUCCAUUUAAUUUUUCUAGUUUAUGGUUAGAAAUGCAGUCUUCAUUUAAAAUGGUAAUUUCAUUUCUUGUGGUAGAGUUUUCCUUUCUAUGCUUUUGAGGUUCCUGUCUCAGAAGUUCAACUUUUGUUAUCUUGUGCCACACAUGAUUUACAGGUCAU
rnacentral:lncRNA from 1 species